CAGGCACGUUAUUUUAGAAUUCACUUAAUAGCACGUUCCUUCAAGAAGGAUCCGACCGAUUAGAUAUCUCUUCGUACACUUUUGGAUAAUUUUAAAGAAAUUACAUUCGAAAUGUUAAUGCGAUGUACAAAAGUUACUGAAGAGAAAAAAUGCAGGCUUAAUUAUGGCGGAUGGAAUUAAAUAACAUUAUCGUCGAUAAUACUAUAGCAAUGACGAUAGACGACAUUCGGGAAUGACAACGUGUUACGUAAUUCUACGAUAUUUUUAUUCCCUUGAUCAGAGAACACCGGAGAGGGCAGGCGUACAAAGCUCAGGAUCGCAUGCUGAAUAUCAUAUAAUUUGAGAAAUUAUUCUACAGGAUGUUUUAUUCGACAUUUAAAUGAAAUUAAUCAUUCAAUAUGGAUACAUAAAUUUAUUACAACAAUUUUAUAACCCUGUCAAGUAUAAUCGUUUCUUAUAUAUAUU